rnacentral:rRNA from 1 species
AUGGACAUCUCUUUUGCUGGAUGCGUAGCUCUCUGUGGGGUUACGCUUGUGAGUGCAUGGCUAGUACACUGGGUAUACAGAUGGAUGAACCCUUUCUGCAACGGGGUUCUUCCUCCCGGCUCCAUGGGGUUCCCCAUUAUUGGUGAGACCUUGGCCUUCCUCAAGGCAAGCCCUUCCUUGGACAUCCCAGACUACUUCAAACUAAGGAUGAAGAGGUAUGGUCCGGUUUUCAAGACGAGCUUGCUGGGGCAGCCGGCGGUGAUCUCCACCGACGCGGAGGCCAACCGGUUUAUCCUUCAGCAGGAAGGCACCAUGUUCCGUCUUGGGUACCCUCGGGCACUCACCAAGAUAUUCGGCGAGAAGAGCAUCGAGGCCUUCCAUGGCACCAUCCACAAGUUCAUCCGUAGAUGCGCCUACAUGUUGUUCGGCCUCCAGACCCUCAAGGAGACGCUCCUCCCUGAGAUGGAGGCCUCCGUGAGGGAGCGCCUCGCCGCGUGGGCCGCCAUGCCCAGCGUCGACGUGCGUGGCGGUGCGCCCGAUUCCAGGGAGCUGAGGAGCAAGUUCGACACGCUUUUCUCAGGGCUCUUCUCAUUCCCGAUAUAUUUCCCUGGGACACCAUUUUACCGAUGCAUGCAGGCAAGGAAAAAUAUUCACAAGACACUGCGGGAUACGUUGGCAGAGAGGUUAGGUGCACCAGCGAAGAAACAUGGCGACCUCCUCGACAUAAUCGUCGAGGAGCUGCAGGGUGAAGAGCCAUCGAUAAGUGAGGAUUUUGCUAUUGAUAUGCUCUCCACCUUGUUGUUCGCCAGCGUCUUCACGCUGUCAGGAACCAUCGCUGUAGCAUUCAAGUCACUCCAUGACAACCCGGACGUUGUCCAGGCGCUCCAGAAGGAGAACCGGGCUAUGCUCAAUGGUCGAAUGGGUGGGUGCUCCGGGCUCACAUGGGAGGAGUACAAGUCAUUGACAUUCACUAAUCAGGUGACCAAUGAGAUCAUUCGAAUAAGCAAUGCUGCACUUGUAGUAUUUAGAAAAGCUCUUACAGAUGCACAAGUCAAUGGCUAUACAAUUCCAGCUGGAUGGCUGGUCAUAGUCAACCCCAUGGCAGUUCAUCUGAACGGAGAAUUGUUCGAAGAUCCACUCAAAUUUAACCCAUGGAGGUGGAUGGAUGAGUCAAAGCGCAGCGCAAUGCUGAAGAAUUUCAUGCCAUUUGGAGCAGGCAUCAGGGUUUGUCCUGCCGCAGAGUUUGUCAAGCUGCUCGUAACACUUACCCUCCAUGUCUUGGUGACCGAGUAUAAAUGGGAAGAAAUGAAACAAACAGAUGUAUUCAGAAGUGGAGAUGUUAUGUUCCCGCAGGGCUACCACAUUCGACUUCAACCCCAAGACGAUAACUGA